rnacentral:lncRNA from 1 species
UGGGCUUCGGUUCCGGCGACAUGGCUAAACGCACCAAGAAGGUCGGGAUCGUCGGAAAAUACGGGACCCGCUAUGGUGCCUCCCUCCGGAAAAUGGUGAAGAAAAUUGAAAUCAGCCAGCACGCUAAGUACACUUGCUCCUUCUGUGGCAAGGUAAGUCGCCUCCGGCUGGGGAGGAGGGUGCGAUUGCUCGUGAGCCAAGGCUGUUGGGAAGCCGCUGGCCCAGUGUGAGAUAACGAGGGUUUGGGGUUACUUUUUGUGAAGCAUUCUUUGUUUACAUGGAAUUACUAAGGAACUUAAGGAUGAAUGGUUUGGAGAGGGAAAGGGCAGUAUUCUGAACG